UGAGUACGAGCUGCUACGGCAGCGAAGUGGGUGAUGUCAUGCUUCCAAGAAAAGCCCUAUACCCGUUAAGGCAUGAUGGCCUGUACCCGAAACCGACACAGGUGGGGUGGUAGAGAAUACCGAGGGGCGCGAGGUAACUCUCUCUAAGGAACUCGGCAAAAUGGCCCCGUAACUUCGGGAGAAGGGGUGCCACCGCAAGGUGGUCGCAGUGAAGAGGCCCAGGCGACUGUUUACCAAAAACACAGGUCUCCGCUAAGUCGCAAGACGAUGUAUGGGGGCUGACGCCUGCCCCUGCCGGAAGGUUAAGGAAGCUGGUCAGCGUAAGCGAAGCUAGCGACUGAAGCCCCGGUGAACGGCGGCCGUAACAAUAACGGUCCUAAGGUAGCGAAAUUCCUUGUCGGGUAAGUUCCGACCCGCACGAAAGGCGUAACGAUCUGGGCGCUGUCUCGGAGAGAGGCUCGGCGAAAUAGAAUUGUCUGUGAAGAUGCGGACUACGUGCACCCGGACAGAAAGACCCUAUGAAGCUUUACUGUAGCUUGGUAUUGUGCUCGGGCUCGGAAUGCGCAGGAUAGGUGGGAGGCUAUGAACCAUUGCUUGCGGGUGAUGGUGAGCCACUGGUGAGAUACCACUCUUUCCGAGCUAGAGUUCUAACAGCCACCCGUUAUCCGGGGGCUGGACAGUAUCAGGUGGGCAGUUUGACUGGGGCGGUCGCCUCCUAAAAGGUAACGGAGGCGCGCAAAGGUUUGCUCAGGCUGGUUGGAAAUCAGCCGACGAGUGUAAAAGCAGAAGCAAGCUUGACUGUGAGACCUACAAGUCGAACAGGGAGGAAACUCGGCUUUAGUGAUCCGACGGUUCUGCGUGGAAGGGCCGUCGCUCAACGGAUAAAAGUUACUCUAAGGAUAACAGGCUGAUCUCCCCCAAGAGUUCACAUCGACGGGGAGGUUUGGCACCUCGAUGUCGGCUCAUCGCAACCUGGGGCUGAAGUCGGUCCCAAGGGUUGGGCUGUUCGCCCAUUAAAGCGGUACGCGAGCUGGGUUCAGAACGUCGUGAGACAGUUCGGUCCAUAUCCGGUGCAUGCGCAGGAAUAUUGAGAGGAUUUCUCCCUAGUACGAGAGGACCGGGAGGAACGCACCUCUGGUGUACCAGUUAUCGUGCCAACGGUAAACGCUGGGUAGCCAUGUGCGGAGAGGAUAACCGCUGAAAGCAUCUAAGUGGGAAGCCCACCUCAAGAUGAGUAUUCCCAUGGGGUAACCCAGUAAGGUCACGGGAAGAACACCCGUUGAUAGGCUCUACGUGGAAGCGCAGUAAUGUGUGAAGCGGAGGGGUACUAAUAGACCGAGGGCUUGAC
rnacentral:rRNA from 1 species